CCUACGGGUGGCUGCAGUGAGGAAUAUUGGUCAAUGGCCGAGAGGCUGAACCAGCCAAGUCGCGUGAGGGACGACGGCCCUACGGGUUGUAAACCUCUUUUGUCGGGGAGCAAAGCGAACCACGUGAGGCUCACUGAGAGUACCCGAAGAAAAAGCAUCGGCUAACUCCGUGCCAGCAGCCGCGGUAAUACGGAGGAUGCGAGCGUUAUCCGGAUUUAUUGGGUUUAAAGGGUGCGUAGGCGGAGGUGCAAGUCAGCGGUCAAAUUGCGGGGCUCAACCCCGGACUGCCGUUGAAACUGCAUGCCUUGAGUGCGCGAGAGGUAUGCGGAAUGCGUGGUGUAGCGGUGAAAUGCUUAGAUAUCGCGCAGAACUCCGAUUGCGAAGGCAGCAUACCGGCGCGCAACUGACGCUCAUGCACGAAAGCGUGGGUAUCGAACAGGAUUAGAUACCCCAGUAGUC
rnacentral:rRNA from 1 species